rnacentral:rRNA from 1 species
GAUGAACGCUGGCGGCGUGCCUAAUACAUGCAAGUCGAGCGAACAGACGAGGAGCUUGCUCCUCUGACGUUAGCGGCGGACGGGUGAGUAACACGUGGAUAACCUACCUAUAAGACUGGGAUAACUUCGGGAAACCGGAGCUAAUACCGGAUAAUAUAUUGAACCGCAUGGUUCAAUAGUGAAAGACGGUUUUGCUGUCACUUAUAGAUGGAUCCGCGCCGCAUUAGCUAGUUGGUAAGGUAACGGCUUACCAAGGCAACGGUGCGUAGCCGACCUGAGAGGGGGGGAGGCCAACAGGAGAAUGGAGCAAGGGCCAAACCGCAAAGGGGAGGCGGAAGGGGGGAAGCUCCGAAAAGGGGGGAAGGCUUGAGGGACAAAGGCGGAGGGAGGGAAGAAGUUCUUGGGAUAGAAAAACUUGGUAAUUGGGGAAAAAAAAAUGUGAAAGAAACAAGGCACGUCUUGACGGUACCAAAUAAAAAAGCCAGGGAUAACUACGUG